GUUUGAAACAUGGCUCAGGAUGAACGCUGGCGGCGUGCCUAAUACAUGCAAGUCGAACGAGUUCUGAUUAUUGAAAGGUGCUUGCAUCUUGAUUUAAUUUUGAACGAGUGGCGGACGGGUGAGUAACACGUGGGUAACCUGCCCUUAAGUGGGGGAUAACAUUUGGAAACAGAUGCUAAUACCGCAUAAAUCCAAGAACCGCAUGGUUCUUGGCUGAAAGAUGGCGUAAGCUAUCGCUUUUGGAUGGACCCGCGGCGUAUUAGCUAGUUGGUGAGGUAACGGCUCACCAAGGCAAUGAUACGUAGCCGAACUGAGAGGUUGAUCGGCCACAUUGGGACUGAGACACGGCCCAAACUCCUACGGGAGGCAGCAGUAGGGAAUCUUCCACAAUGGACGCAAGUCUGAUGGAGCAMSSCCGCGUGAGUGAAGAAGGCUUUCGGGUCGUAAAACUCUGUUGUUGGAGAAGAAUGGUCGGCAGAGUAACUGUUGUCGGCGUGACGGUAUCCAACCAGAAAGCCACGGCUAACUACGUGCCAGCAGCCGCGGUAAUACGUAGGUGGCAAGCGUUAUCCGGAUUUAUUGGGCGUAAAGCGAGCGCAGGCGGUUUUUUAAGUCUGAUGUGAAAGCCCUCGGCUUAACCGAGGAAGUGCAUCGGAAACUGGGAAACUUGAGUGCAGAAGAGGACAGUGGAACUCCAUGUGUAGCGGUGAAAUGCGUAGAUAUAUGGAAGAACACCAGUGGCGAASGCGGCUGUCUGGUCUGUAACUGACGCUGAGGCUCGAAAGCAUGGGUAGCGAACAGGAUUAGAUACCCUGGUAGUCCAUGCCGUAAACGAUGAAUGCUAGGUGUUGGAGGGUUUCCGCCCUUCAGUGCCGCAGCUAACGCAUUAAGCAUUCCGCCUGGGGAGUACGACCGCAAGGUUGAAACUCAAAGGAAUUGACGGGGGCCCGCACAAGCGGUGGAGCAUGUGGUUUAAUUCGAAGCAACGCGAAGAACCUUACCAGGUCUUGACAUCUUUUGAUCACCUGAGAGAUCAGGUUUCCCCUUCGGGGGCAAAAUGACAGGUGGUGCAUGGUUGUCGUCAGCUCGUGUCGUGAGAUGUUGGGUUAAGUCCCGCAACGAGCGCAACCCUUAUGACUAGUUGCCAGCAUUUAGUUGGGCACUCUAGUAAGACUGCCGGUGACAAACCGGAGGAAGGUGGGGAUGACGUCAAAUCAUCAUGCCCCUUAUGACCUGGGCUACACACGUGCUACAAUGGAUGGUACAACGAGUUGCGAGACCGCGAGGUCAAGCUAAUCUCUUAAAGCCAUUCUCAGUUCGGACUGUAGGCUGCAACUCGCCUACACGAAGUCGGAAUCGCUAGUAAUCGCGGAUCAGCACGCCGCGGUGAAUACGUUCCCGGGCCUUGUACACACCGCCCGUCACACCAUGAGAGUUUGUAACACCCGAAGCCGGUGGCGUAACCCUUUUAGGGAGCGAGCCGUCUAAGGUGGGACAAAU
rnacentral:rRNA from 2 species